rnacentral:rRNA from 1 species
UUGAGCCUUGAUGUGUAGGAUAGGUGGGAGGCUUUGAAGUGUGGACGCCAGUCUGCAUGGAGCCAACCUUGAAAUACCACCCUUUAACGUUUGAUGUUCUAACCUAGGCCCAUAAACUGGGUCGGGGACCGUGUCUGGUGGGUAGUUUGACUGGGGCGGUCUCCUCCUAAAGAGUAACGGAGGAGCACGAAGGUUGGCUAAGCAUGGUCGGACAUCAUGCGGUUAGUGCAAAGGCAUAAGCCAGCUUGACUGCGAGAGUGACGGCUCGAGCAGGUACGAAAGU